AGUCUCUGAACGUGGCACAAGUGCUUGUCAUCACAGGCUGUGUGGGAGGUGACCCCAGGCCUGGCUCUCUCCACCACUGACCUCUCCUGACUCACCCAGGACACUGUCCUUGAACCUUCUUGUCCCCUCAUUUCCAGGUGGCAGAUAGUUGGCAUUGCUUUCCCUCCAAGGCAGCAGGUGCCACCUAUAUAAUCUGAGGUGUGGCCCCAAAUCUGCUGUCACAGCAGCAACCCAUGGGAUAUAUGAAUACUUAGGCCCAGCCCUGCCCCGGGGUGUAUGUGGGAGAACAGAGGACAAUGUUACAGGAGUCCGUUCUCCCCAUCUUUCCAUCUGGGUCGUGGGGAAUCCAGCUCAGGUCAUCCGGCUUGGUGGCAAGUAUCUAUCCACCGAUUCACCUCUCUGGCCACAAGGGAACUUGGUUUGGAUUGGUUACCCUAGAACUCCAUCCCACCUUAACUCUCUAACAAGCUCAGCAACUUGACAUUCUGGGUCAGAUGUCAAGCUGGGAUGAGAACGGUAGCUCAGUGGUCAGUCGCCUGACUGGUGUACGGAGGGCUGUGUGUUUGGUUCCCAGCGCUGCACGUCUUACCCCAUUAUGGGGGGUUCCGUCUUGUCCGUCAGAUUGCCAGUCAGCAUCAAGUAGCCCUCCUCAAGUAUGACCCUUCCCAAUCCUCCAAAAAAAAAAAAAAA
rnacentral:lncRNA from 1 species